CAGAUUAUGCGAUCCAAAAAAUGAUAAUUUAAGUUCACAAGCAAAGUCCUGGCUGUCAGAGUUGUGUGCUUUUCUAGUGUUCACUGCAGGCUUCUUGGGAUCUAGGCAUUUCAUUAUAUUGGCAAGCUCAAGAACUGCACUGAGGCUAUGGUUGGGUGCUCCUGUUCAUCUUUCCAUGGACAUGAAAUCAGGCAAAGUGAUUCCCCCCCUACUUGUCUCCUAGUAAUCUCAUGGA
rnacentral:lncRNA from 1 species